rnacentral:lncRNA from 1 species
CAGAACUGUUUAUUGAAUCUUUUGUCCCUUCUGUCCUUUAUUUUGCAGCAUUGAGGAAAGCAAAAUGAUUAAAUAUGGGGAAUUGAAGAUUUAUGCCAAUGCUGGGAAUUUGCUGCUAUUAUAUCCACUGCUGAAAUAUCAUUUGAGAAAAGGAUUGAGUAUUGUGUCACACUCUUUUGUCUCUCAAGAUGAAGGUCUGGGCUCUUGCAGAGAAAGUUUUUCUCCUCAAUGAGGUGUAUCCCAGAGGAAAGGAAUGCUCAGAUCUCUUCUAGACCUCUACAGUGAGGCUUCUUCUGCCACCCACAGAAAAAAGAAGACAAAGGAGUUCCUCCCAUCCUCGCCCUCCACAGUAAGGCUGGACUAGCAGAAAACCCUGAAGGCAGAGAGCUGGAGAACUGCUUUUUUUUGUUGUUUGUUUUCAACAGCAGCCCCAAAAGAAGCUGGCAAGCAAAGUGGGGAUUGGGGUGAGAAACUGAGGACACCUGUCCAAAGUGACUGCAGCCCCUCUUGAUCACACCAGUGGAACCAGUGCGCCAGGGCAGCCACAGCUUACCAGCACCGUGCUGGCCAGGUGCUUCGGGAGGUGCCUGACCCAGAAACUGAGCACAGCGGUAUGAUUCAGCUUUGAGGUGUGAGAAGCUCUCAGCAGGGCUGGCCAGGCAGGGUUCAGACAGGGAGCUGGCAGCCCGUGCC